rnacentral:rRNA from 1 species
CCUACGGGAGGCUGCAGUAGGGAAUCUUUCACAAUGGGCGAAAGCCUGAUGGAGCAACGCCGCGUGCAGGAUGAAGGCCUUCGGGUUGUAAACUGCUUUUAUAAGCGAGAAAUAUGAUGGUAACUUAUGAAUAAGGAUCGGCUAACUACGUGCCAGCAGCCGCGGUCAUACGUAGGCUACGAGCAUUAUCCGGAGUGACUGGGUGUAAAGAGUUGCGUAGGUGGCAUAAUAAGUAGCUAGUGAAAUCUGGUGGCUCAACCAUUCAGACUAUUAGCGAAACUGUUAAGCUCGAGACCGUUAGGGGUAACUGGAAUUUAUGGUGUAGGAGUGAAAUCCGUAGAUAUUAGAAGGAACACCAAUAGCGUAGGCAGGUUGCUGGGACGGUUCUGACACUAAGGCACGAAAGCGUAGGGAGCAAACGGGAUUAGAUACCCGGGUAGUC